rnacentral:misc_RNA from 1 species
AAGUCGUAACAAGGUUUCCGUAGGUGAACCUGCGGAAGGAUCAUUAUCAAUUCAAUAGGACAGACGACCCGCCUUGGGUUCCUGUCACUGUUGCACCCUUUGUCUUUGCGUACUGUAUGUUUCCUCGGUGGGCUCGCCCGCCGAUAGGACAUUCUAUAAACCCUUUGUAAUUGCAAUCAGCGUCAGAAAAAACUAUAAUAGUUACAACUUUCAACAACGGAUCUCUUGGUUCUG